rnacentral:lncRNA from 1 species
UUUUUUGGUUUCUGCCUUCAGAAUCCUAAAGAACUUUACUGGGUUUGUAUUUCACCAAAUUUGUUUUUCUGCUUUGCUCAUUUUUAGCAGAAUUUCCUUUGAUGCUUUAGUAUUAUCAUGUUUAAUCUAUAUUUAAUUCUAUCUACAAAAUAGGCCAUAUACUUAUUUUCAUUUUCUAAUAAAUUGCUGUAUUAUACUCUAAAACUGUGCUAUUAUAAAAUUAACUGAUUUCCUCUGUCUAUGCAGCUUCAUAAGACAGCAGGACAAAGAAAUUAAGGAACUAAGAAAUACGUGUAUAAAAGCAUAAAAAUUAAUGGGUGAAAUCCAACAAUAAAUGUUACUGAAGAGCUUUACACUUCUAUUUAUUUCUGAAAAUUGAACCAGUUUCAAAUUAAUGCUCUGCCUUUAAAGAAUUAAAACUACAUUGCUUCUGUGGUCAUACACCAGAGCUACAGGUUCACAUUGCUAACAAACCUGUCUACAAUGACUCUAGGAAAUCAUAAAGAAAGGGAAACAACACAGCAAAACCACACAGAAUUAACUCAUGGCAAUCUCAGAAGAAAACUGCUCCAAAGGCCAAUGACUACAUAGAAUUAUCCUGUUGAUUACUUCGUAUCUGGAGAUAGAACCAGAACACGAACACUGCAACAGCUCACAGAACUACUGAAAUCAUCAGUUACACAACCACAGUAAUUGGUUUUCCCAAUUAAAUGUUUACAAUGCCUUCUUCAUCAAUUAACUAAUGUUUUAAAUUGUAAUCUAAGACUAUACACCAUGGAUGCUGUUACAACAUUUCUAAGGACACUGCAGGCUGCAUUACUGGGAGUAACAAGGACAGUUUUCAUUACUAUAUAAAACUUCAGAAAGCAAGAAUUAAGUGUCUGUGCACACUGCAUUAUAUGUUUCAGAUAUUACCAGCUAUCAUAGUCCAAAGAAGAGAAAACGAGAAAGGGAGAAUACAGCUUUUAAUGAAAAAAACUGUUGUGCUAUAUGCAAAAAAACUAUGACCCACGUGACUGAUCAUAGCGUCUUGUCUUCAUGUGAGGCGCUAGCUCCCAUACAGGUCUCACAGCAUAACUGUGAAACCCCUCUGCAAGACAGUGGCUCCCUAACCUUUUCCUAUUGAAAUCCAACACAACAUACUAUACAGAGACAAGAAGCAGCUAUACUACUGCUUCAAGACAGGCAAUAUUCGCAGUUUCAGUCAUGUUUCUGUAAGCACCAAGAGGCACUGACGUAGCAUGCCUGCUGUAAAUUACCUCUGCAGCACUUGCAAAAACAGCAAGAACCACUGCCUAUGAGAGGCAGCUUAUGGCCUAUGCCUUGCAUUUUCAUAAGGCUGCAGCUUAUCCCAAAUACCAGUGAGGACCAGCAA